rnacentral:rRNA from 1 species
UACGUAGGUGGCAAGCGUUGUCCGGAUUUACUGGGCGUAAAGAGCGCGCAGGCGGUCGAUCCAGUCGCGUGUGAAAGCCCCCGGCUCAACUGGGGAGGGUCACGCGAUACUGAUCGACUCGAAGGCAGGAGAGGGUAGUGGAAUUCCCGGUGUAGUGGUGAAAUGCGUAGAUAUCGGGAGGAACACCAGUGGCGAAGGCGACUUCCUGGCCUGUUCUUGACGCUGAGGCGCGAAAGCUAGGGGAGCAAACGGG